CCUACGGGUGGCAGCAGUGGGGAAUAUUGGACAAUGGGGGGAACCCUGAUCCAGCGACGCCGCGUGAGUGAAGAAGUAUUUCGGUAUGUAAAGCUCUAUCAGCAGGGAAGAAAGAAAUGACGGUACCUGACUAAGAAGCCCCGGCUAACUACGUGCAAGCAGCCGCGGUAAUACGGAGGGGGCAAGCGUUAUCCGGAUUUACGGGGUGUCAAGGGAGAGUAGACGGCGAUGCAAGUCUGAAGUGAAAGGCGGGGGCCCAACCCCCGGACUGCUUUGGAAACUGGAUGGCUGGAGGGCAGGGGAGGUAAGUGGAAUGCCUAGUGAAGCGGUGAAAGGCGUAGAUAUUAGGAGGAACACCAGUGGCGAAGGCGGCUUACUGGACUGUAACUGACGUUGAGGCUCGAAAGCGUGGGGAGCAAACAGGAUUAGAUACCCUUGUAGUC
rnacentral:rRNA from 1 species